AAUAGCCUAACGGCUGAACCAGCAACUUGGAGGAAUGUAUAGCAAAACUCUAAUUGCACCAAGAUAUAGUUGGUGCAAUAUCGACUCUGUUGAAUAAAAUUCUAGGUAGAAUUAUGAUAAUGACAUUGUCUGCCUAUGUGUCUUGACCAAAUUACGUGCCAGCAGUCGCGGUAAUACGUAGAAGACUAGUGUUAUUCAUCUUUAAUAGGUUUAAAGGGUACCUAGACGGUAAAUCAAGCCUGCGAGGGGACUAAUGUACUAGAGUUACUUGUGAGGGGGUAUUAAAGUACUGCUGGUGUAGAGAUGAAAUUCUUUCAUACCUUUUUUCAUCGGGAAAAUAACGGCACAGGUAUAGGCGAAAGCAUCCUCUUAUGUGAUAACUGACGUUGAAGGACGAAGGCUUUGUGUAGCGAACAGGAUUAGAUACCCCAGUAGUCAAAGCAGAAAAUGAUGAGUGUCAUAGAUUAGACAUAUAAUGGUUUAUUCUAUAAAUGAAAGUGUAAGCACUCCACCUCAAGAGUAAUUUGGCAACAUUGGAACUGAAAUCAUUAGACCGUUUCUGAAACCAGUAGUGAAGUAUGUUGUUUAAUUUGAUGAUCCGCAAAAAACCUUACCACAAUUUGAAUAUUUAUAAUAUUUCUUCUUUUUGUUUUCAUCUUUUUUCUUGAUUUUUGAGAAAAAAAGAUGAAAAUAAAACUAAGAGAGGAAACAUGUAUUUACAAGCGUUGCACGGCUGUCUUCAGUUAAUGUCGUGAGACUUUGGUUAGUUCCAUUAAAUUAACGUAAACCCUCACUUUAUUUUUACAUAAAGUAGUUCCCCACUAGAUUGGAUAUGAUAACAGGGACUAAGACAAGUCAUUUUGGCCUUAAUAUUGU
rnacentral:rRNA from 1 species